UGUGAGCUCGAUGAGUAGGGCGGGACACGUGGUAUCCUGUCUGAAUAUGGGGGGACCAUCCUCCAAGGCUAAAUACUCCUGACUGACCGAUAGUGAACCAGUACCGUGAGGGAAAGGCGAAAAGAACCCCGGCGAGGGGAGUGAAAAAGAACCUGAAACCGUGUACGUACAAGCAGUGGGAGCCCCACCACUAAGCCAGUGGUGAACUCCACAUACGCAUCCUUUGCUGAGGAUACGGUUAACGGAGCGAAAGCGACGUUCAACCGCAAAAGAAGCAGAGGGGGCUUAGUGGUGGGGUGACUGCGUACCUUUUGUAUAAUGGGUCAGCGACUUAUAUUCUGUAGCAAGGUUAACCGUAUAGGGGAGCCGUAGGGAAACCGAGUCUUAACCGGGCGUUAAGUUGCAGGGUAUAGACCCGAAACCCGGUGAUCUAGCCAUGGGCAGGUUGAAGGUUGGGUAACACUAACUGGAGGACCGAACCGACUAAUGUUGAAAAAUUAGCGGAUGACCUGUGGCUGGGGGUGAAAGGCCAAUCAAACCGGGAGAUAGCUGGUUCUCCCCGAAAGCUAUUUAGGUAGCGCCUCGUGAAUUCAUCUCCGGGGGUAGAGCACUGUUUCGGCUAGGGGGCCAUCCCGGCUUACCAACCCGAUGCAAACUGCGAAUACCGGAGAAUGUUAUCACGGGAGACACACGGCGGGUGCUAACGUCCGUCGUGAAGAGGGAAACAACCCAGACCGCCAGCUAAGGUCCCAAAGUCAUGGUUAAGUGGGAAACGAUGUGGGAAGGCCCAGACAGCCAGGAUGUUGGCUUAGAAGCAGCCAUCAUUUAAAGAAAGCGUAAUAGCUCACUGGUCGAGUCGGCCUGCGCGGAAGAUGUAACGGGGCUAAACCAUGCACCGAAGCUGCGGCAGCGACACUCAGGUGUUGUUGGGUAGGGGAGCGUUCUGUAAGCCUGUGAAGGUGUGUCGUGAGGCAUGCUGGAGGUAUCAGAAGUGCGAAUGCUGACAUAAGUAACGAUAAAGCGGGUGAAAAGCCCGCUCGCCGGAAGACCAAGGGUUCCUGUCCAACGUUAAUCGGGGCAGGGUGAGUCGACCCCUAAGGCGAGGCCGAAAGGCGUAGUCGAUGGGAAAC
rnacentral:rRNA from 1 species